rnacentral:rRNA from 1 species
GAUGAACGCUGGCGGCGUGCCUAAUACAUGCAAGUCGAGCGAACAGAUAAGGAGCUUGCUCCUUUGACGUUAGCGGCGGACGGGUGAGUAACACGUGGAUAACCUACCUAUAAGACUGGGAUAACUUCGGGAAACCGGAGCUAAUACCGGAUAACAUAUUGAACCGCAUGGUUCAAUAGUGAAAGGCGGCUUUGCUGUCACUUAUAGAUGGAUCCGCGCCGUAUUAGCUAGUUGGUAAGGUAACGGCUUACCAAGGCAACGAUACGUAGCCGACCUGAGAGGGUGAUCGGCCACACUGGAACUGAGACACGGUCCAGACCCCUACGGGAGGCAGCAGUAGGGAAUCUUCCGCAAUGGGCGAAAGCCUGACGGAGCAACGCCGCGUGAGUGAUGAAGGUCUUCGGAUCGUAAAACUCUGUUAUCAGGGAAGAACAAAUGUGUAAGUAACUGUGCACAUCUUGACGGUACCUGAUCAGAAAGCCACGGCUAACUACGUG